rnacentral:rRNA from 1 species
UACAGAGGUCUCAAGCGUUGUUCGGAUUCAUUGGGCGUAAAGGGUGCGUAGGCGGUGGGGUAAGUUGGAUGUGAAAUCUUGGGGCUUAACCUCAAAAUUGCAUUCAAUACUGCUCCGCUCGAGUUCUGUAGAGGAGAUUGGAAUUUACGGUGUAGCAGUGAAAUGCGUAGAUAUCUGGAGGAACACCGGUGGCGAAGGCGGCAUCCUGGACCAACACUGACGCUGAGUGAGCGAAAGCCAGGGGAGCAAACGGG